rnacentral:RNase_P_RNA from 1 species
CAGGCAAAGGUGAAACGGUGGUGUAAGAGACCACCAGCGGGCCGGGCGACCGGCCCGGAUCGGCAAACCCCACCGGGAGCAAGGCCAAGCAGGGAGCGGGUGACCCGCCCUAUCUCCCAGGUAGGCGGCAACGAGGUAGACGGAGACGUUUACCCCAGAUAGAUGACCGUCGCCGAUCUUCGGAUCGGCACAGAAUCCGGCUUAUAGGCGGACUCGCGGG